rnacentral:rRNA from 1 species
CAAUAGCGUAUAUUAAAGUUGUUGCGGUUAAAAAGCUCGUAGUUGGAUUUCUGCUGAGAACGACCGGUCCGCCCUUUGGGUGUGUAUCUGGCUCUUUCUUGGCAUCUUCUUGGUGAACGUUGCUGCACUUGACUGUGUGGAGCGCUACCCAGGACUUUUACUUUGAGGAAAUUAGAGUGUUUCAAGCAGGCAUACGCCUUGAAUACAUUAGCAUGGAAUAAUAAGAUAGGACCUCGGUACUAUUUUGUUGGUUUUGAGGACUGAGGUAAUGAUUAAUAGGGAUAGUUGGGGGCAUUCGUACUUAACUGUCAGAGGUGAAAUUCUUGGAUUUGUUAAAGACGAACUACUGCGAAAGCAUUUGCCAAGGAUGUUUUCAUUGA